rnacentral:tRNA from 1 species
GAGGGUACAGCUCAAGUGGUAGAGUGCAUGCCUAGCAUGCACGAGGUCCUGGGUUCAAUCCCUGGUACCUCCU